UGGGGAAUAUUGGACAAUGGGCGAAAGCCUGAUCCAGCCAUGCCGCGUGUGUGAAGAAGGUCUUCGGAUUGUAAAGCACUUUAAGUUGGGAGGAAGGGCAGUAAGCGAAUACCUUGCUGUUUUGACGUUACCGACAGAAUAAGCACCGGCUAACUCUGUGCCAGCAGCCGCGGUAAUACAGAGGGUGCAAGCGUUAAUCGGAAUUACUGGGCGUAAAGCGCGCGUAGGUGGUUCGUUAAGUUGAAUGUGACAGCCCCGGGCUCAACCUGGGAACUGCAUCCAAAACUGGCGAGCUAGAGUAGGGCAGAGGGUGGUGGAAUUUCCUGUGUAGCGGUGAAAUGCGUAGAUAUAGGAAGGAACACCAGUGGCGAAGGCGACCACCUGGGCUCAUACUGACACUGAGGUGCGAAAGCGUGGGGAGCAAACAGG
rnacentral:rRNA from 1 species